AUUUCCUUUUUUUUCUCUUCCUCUCCCCCCUUCCUUCUUCCAGCUGCCAGAUCCCCCCAUCUCCAUCUCUCUUUCUCUCGCGUCUCUCCCUCUCUACAACCCAUGUCGUGCGUCUCCCAGUCAAAACCACCACCUGCCCAGCGCUGCUCCUCCACGCGCUGCACGUUGUUCACUAGCCAUCUAGCACCGCUACAAUAGUUGUUCCCUUCGCCAAGUCAUCUGCAACUGAGCCGCCACGUUAAAUCCGUUCGUCCAGAGUUCACCCAGCCACAUCCCAAUCGCCCGCUCCCUUACACCACACCGGACGCCGCCCCAACCGCUUGUGUCACCUCCUUCAGUCUCUAUUCAUCGCAGCCAUUGAUUUAGAUCGACCCUCGACGUCAGCUUUAAAGCCUGCAGCUAUUCACCGUCCCCAACACAGAGGGUUGUCGAAAUCUCUAUGAUUUUGGAAUUUUGGAGCUUUGGAAGGUGCGAGGUACUGUCCAGUAAUUGUUGUGGUCAUAUGACAAUUUAUUGGAUUGAUUCAAGUUUUCCAAAGAUUUCAAAGGAGAAUAAUUUGUGGACUAAUAUUUUUACCAAAUUUGAGAUUGAAAGAAUUUUGGAGUUUUGGAAGGUGCAAGGUGCUGUCCAGUAAGUGUUGUGGUCAUAUGGCAAUUUAUUGGUAAGUUUUGGGAUUUUAACCCUUUGGGCUCUUUUGGAUUAAGGGAGAUUGUUGAAAAUGUGGUUAUUAAACUUUGGUUUUGAUUUAUGAUCAGAUUGGACAAAUAAAUUAGACUUUGGGACUGACUUCAAACCAAACCAUGAUUUUGGUAAGAUAAAUUGGGGACUUUUUUUUUAUUUAAUUGGUUAAUUGGAUUUAGACCCUAACGGACAAGUUUAAAAGCUUGGGGAUGCGUGAUUUUAAGCCAUGGUUGCUAAAUAAAAUUUGGCAAUGUUUGUUUUAGGAUUGAUUCAAGUUUUCCAAAGAUUUCAAAGGAGAAUAAUUUCGUGGACUAAUAUUUUUACCAAAUUUAAGGUAAGUAAUCUUCCUACUGAAACUACCCACGGGCCAGGCACUAGAUGUAUGCUAGCAUGACAGAGUGAUAUUAUGACAGAACGAUAGCAUGAUAGACUAAUAGUAUAGUAUAACCGAUAUAUGUUCUUGUAUGAGGAUCUGAAGAAUUUAUUUGUGCACAUAGAUACUUGAAUACUAGCAUGAGAUGAUAUUUGAUUCCAUGAGGUUCUAUUUGAUCUGAGGAUGUUGAGACAUAUAUGUAUGUUGUAGAGCCAUGAUGUUGAGAUGUAUAUGUAUGUUAUAGAACCAUGUUGUGAUACUUGUGGUGUUAAGAUUGUGACCUUGUCCUCAUUGAUUAGUUAGAUGCCCACUAGAUGUUGUGUUUCUUUGGGAUUCACUAGAGGUGGUGUUUUAUCCUUCGGGGUUCACCAGAGGUUGUGUUUCCUUCGAGAUUCACCAAGCUUGUGUUUCCUUCAAAAUUCACUAUAUGUUGUGGUUUCCUUCAGGAUCCACCAGAGGUUAUGUUUCCUUCGGGAUUCACCAGAGGCUAUGGGUCCUAUGGGACUUACUAGAGGUAGUGGGCAUACUUAACUAGGAUAAAAAUCAGUUUUUCAUGUAUGUAUGUGUUCCAUGAGAACUAGAGAAGAUUAUAUGUUCCACCAGAGGUAGGCAUCUAAAGGACAUGGAUGUCUAGCCUGACUCCAGUAGUGGGGUUACUUACUGAGUAUUUUGUACUCAUCCUUUCUCAUGUUGUUGUUUCAAGUAAAGGUAGAGAUGCAUCGACGAUUGACAAGCGGAAUCCAUGAUCGAGCCGCUGGGACUAGU